rnacentral:tmRNA from 1 species
GGGGCUGACCGGUUUUGACAGCAAGGAAGUGGUAUUGUAAGCAUGCCGGGUGUUGUGUGUUUACCCGUUAACAACAAUGCAUACGCCAGAAUAAAUGGCAACAAUUACAAUUUCUCGUUAGCUGCUUAAUCAAGAAGAUUAAGUCGCUUUCUGUUUCCCGCAAAACCUCUCCAAACGGUGUUGUGGAUGAAGCAUCGAAAAAGUUUGGAUAGAAAAAGUUUUGUUCCGGAGCUUUUUUGAAAUAACAGGAACUAAGGAUGAAGUAGGUUUGCCUUUCACUGGCUUUCAUCCCUACAAAAUAUGAAAGGCUAAGCAUGUAGAAAGCAUUAUUGCUGCUUGUUUGGACGAGGGUUCGACUCCCUCCAGCUCCACUA